UAAGAUAAUAUACCGGCAUAUUAACUAUGUUCUUCCAUCCUAAUGCACUGCAGGUUUUUGUUUGCUGAGUACCGCAUGUUGUACAUAAUAACUAUCUUUUAUGUAAAUUGACUAAUUAAAUUCUAUUCUCACUUCUGCAAUUGUUUAUGGUUUCACUAUACAUUAUUCUCUUUUGCUAAAAAUGUCCCACAAUGGCAGAUUGUGAGUAAUGAGACAACUGCAGAGGCUGAUUGACAUUCACAUGACAACUAUUACCCAAGCUGCAGCAAAUGCAACAUUUUGAACUUUUUGGUCCUUGGUCAGGUGAUGAAUGUGCAUCUAUAGACAGUGUAUCUGGGUGUACAGUUUUAACUUGUUUCUUUGUUCCUGAGCUAAGAAUCUUUUGUAAGCACUGAAUUGUUAUAUCCAAUCAGUUGAAGUAUCCGAUGCU